ACCACCGCACCUCUCCAGUCAAAUGCCGGCGCCGGAAUUCAUGGAGCCACCUCUGGAAUACACCAAAGGUCAUUGCCGGAAUCUGUCAAUUUAAGGUAGAUGAGAACCGAGAGAGAGAGAGAGAGAUCGGGUCUGUGAUGGUUGAUGGGUAAUUGAGAAGAGAAUUUAUGUGGGUUUUGUUGAUUGAUGAUUGUGGAGUUUGGGGAUUUUGAUUGUUCUGAUUUGGGGAUUUUGAUUUAGUAUUUCAAUUUAUGUGGGUUUUAUUGAUUGGGUUUUUCUUGGGUUGUGGAUCUUGUUGUUGAGAUGGGUUUCAACGGCCAUUAGAGCUUCCAAAUCUGGGUUGGGUCGAGCUCAACAAUUUGAUUUUCUUUUCUGAUAGGAUUCCAGGUAGUACUCAUCAUCCACAUCAGCUGAACCCACAUUAUUUGGUCAUGGAGAUGGAUAAGGAGUACCAACAUGCAGAUCAUGGGCAAUAGUGGUGUUUGCCAUGGCCAUGAUGUGCAACGUGGCAUGGGUAAGAGCAUCUCCAGCAGUAAGAGAGCAUGGAAUGUGAGAAGAUGCAGAGCAUGGAAGAUUCAUUGAACGAGAUCAAGAACUUACUGGCUGGAGUUAAUCAAUUCUCUGAGAAGAGCACCAACAACACAAAGGAAAAAAGAUCAACAAUAUCCCAUGGCUUCCCCACCGGAGACAAGUAGCAGUAGGCAACACCCCCAUUGAAGCACCUUAAGAUGGAUUUCCCACGUUAUCAACAUGUCACUGGAAGGCAGUUACAAAUCCUCAACGUCAAUUUCACACAUUCCACCUUGAGGACAAGGUUCUCUUAAGGGGGGGCGAAUGAUAGGAUUCCACGAAAGACUUGUCAUACACAUCAGUCGAACCCACAUUAUUUGGUCAUAGAGAUGGAUAAGGAGAACCAACAUGAAAAUCAUGGGCAAUAGUGGUGUUUGCCAUGGGCCAUGAUGUGCAACGUGGCAUGGGUAAUGGGGUUAGUGUUAGUGUUAUCUUAUAAUAGGAGUUAGUGAGAAGUUUACUUACUAGAAAGUUAUUUAGUAUGUGCAGUUAUGUGUUGCGGUGUGAGAUAGUGUGAGAGAAGUGGUAGUGGUUUAGGUAGCUGCUAGUAAUAGAAUAUUUAAGGGUCUUUGUAUUAUGUUAUGAGUAUGGUGAAUUUGUAUUGUCUUGUGUAUGUGGUUCAACUCACACCCUAAGUGAAGUAUUAUCAUGUUCUUGUUCUGACUGGGACCCACUAAGGGUAUCAAAACAUAUUAUCUUGUUUGUGAUCAUGUUCUUGUUCUGACUGGGACCCACUAGAGGUAUCAGAAUGUAUUAUCUUGUUUGUGUGUUUGUAUUGUGGUAGAACUCCGGCCAUAAAUGGAGAUUUGUAACGUGUAUUAUCUUUAUAUUGUAUUAAAUAUUAGUUGUGUUUCUAUUAUA